UAGUGGCGGACGGGUGAGUAACGCGUGGGUAACCUGCCUCAUACAGGGGGAUAACAGUCGGAAACGAUUGCUAAAACCGCAUAACAUAGCGAAACCGCAUGAUUUUGCUAUCAAAUAUUUAUAGGUAUGAGAUGGGCCCGCGUCUGAUUAGCAGUUGGUGGGGUAAGUGGCCGUACCAAGGCGACGAUCAGUAGCCGGCUGAGAGAGUGACCGGCCACAUUGGGACUGAGACACGGCCCAAACUCCUACGGGAGGCAGCAGUGGGGAAUAUUGGACAAUGGGGGAAACCCUGAUCCAGCCGACGCCGCGUGAGUGAAGAAGUAUUUCGGUAUGUAAAGCUCUAUCAGCAGGGAAGAUAAUGACAGUACCUGACUAAGAAGCCCCGGCUAACUACGUGCCAGCCGCCGC
rnacentral:rRNA from 1 species